GAUGCCAGGGUCCCAAGGUCUAAACCUACAUGAGCUUGCUCAUAGGUGGGUGAGAGACCUUGGGACCCGCCCGAAUAUGAGCAUAAAAGUGGGAUGGAUAUCCCGCGAUAUGCGAAUGUUGGGAAGGAUUGUGAGAGUGCGCAGCGCAGGCCGCAAUCCGAAG
rnacentral:sRNA from 1 species